rnacentral:rRNA from 1 species
ACGAACGCUGGCGGCGUGCCUCAUACAUGCAAGUAGAACGCUGAAGGAGGAGCUUGCUCUUCUGGAUGAGUUGCGAACGGGUGAGUAACGCGUAGGUAACCUGCCUGGUAGCGGGGGAUAACUAUUGGAAACGAUAGCUAAUACCGCAUAACAGUAGAUGUUGCAUGACAUUUACUUAAAAGGUGCAAUUGCAUCACUACCAGAUGGACCUGCGUUGUAUUAGCUAGUUGGUGGGGUAACGGCUCACCAAGGCGACGAUACAUAGCCGACCUGAGAGGGUGAUCGGCCACACUGGGACUGAGACACGGCCCAGACUCCUACGGGAGGCAGCAGUAGGGAAUCUUCGGCAAUGGACGGAAGUCUGACCGAGCAACGCCGCGUGAGUGAAGAAGGUUUUCGGAUCGUAAAGCUCUGUUGUAAGAGAAGAACGAGUGUGAGAGUGGAAAGUUCACACUGUGACGGUAUCUUACCAGAAAGGGACGGCUAACUACGUG